rnacentral:rRNA from 1 species
GACGAACGCUGGCGGCGUGCUUAACACAUGCAAGUCGAACGGAAAGGCCCUGCUUUUGUGGGGUGCUCGAGUGGCGAACGGGUGAGUAACACGUGAGUAACCUGCCCUUGACUUUGGGAUAACUUCAGGAAACUGGGGCUAAUACCGGAUAGGAGCUCCUGCUGCAUGGUGGGGGUUGGAAAGUUUCGGCGGUUGGGGAUGGACUCGCGGCUUAUCAGCUUGUUGGUGGGGUAGUGGCUUACCAAGGCUUUGACGGGUAGCCCGCCUGAGAGGGUGACCGGCGACAUUGGGACUGAGAGACGGCCCAGACGCCUACGGGAGGCAGCAGGGGGGAAUAUUGCACAAUGGGCGGAAGCCUGAUGCAGCAACGCCGCGUGCGGGAUGACGGCCUUCGGGUUGUAAACCGCUUUCGCCUGUGACGAAGCGUGAGUGACGGUAAUGGGUAAAGAAGCACCGGCUAACUACGUG